AGGAUGAACGCUGGCGGCAUGCCUAACACAUGCAAGUCGAACGGUCCUUUUAGGACAGUGGCGGACGGGUGAGUAACACGUUGGUACCUUCCCCGGAGUGGGGGAUAAUUCGCCGAAAGGCGGACUAAUACCCCAUGGUCUUGCACUUGUUGCAAGUAAAGAUUUAUUGCUCUGGGAUGGGCCUGCGGUUGAUUAGCUUGUUGGUGAGGUAAUGGCUCACCAAGGCGACGAUCAAUAGCUGGAUCGAGAGGUUGACCAGCCACACUGGGACUGAGAUACGGCCCAGACUCCUACGGGAGGCAGCAGUGAGGAAUUUUCCGCAAUGGGCGAAAGCCUGACGGAGCAAUGCCGCGUGAAGGAAGAAGCCUUUCGGGGUGUAAACUUCUUUUAUCAGGGAAGAAGACAUGACGGUACCUGAUGAAUAAGCAUCGGCUAACUACGCGCCAGCAGCCGC
rnacentral:rRNA from 1 species